CUGAAUGUCAGAUGUUUCUACUGACUCAUUGACCACACUGUACAUUGUACUGAGAGAGAUGUGGCAGAGUCGCCCUCAAACCCUCCAUCUACCAGCGAGCCAUGGUCCUCUGACAGUAGCAAUCACAACCCAUUGAAAAUGUCCCUCUCGUCAGAAAAUGGAAGCACGCAGAAAUCUAUAAAAGGUUUUAAUGUUGUGGGCCUGACGUGAUUGCCUGGGCUUGUAUGUGUUAUUCAGCAGAUCGCACCGUCGCUCUCCGUCCUGCUUGUCUCUGCCAAGCCAAUGACAGGCAGAGAGCAUUAGGUGUAAUGGCAGCUCCAUUGUUGCUGGUGGAUAGCCCAUAUCUUAUCAAUACUAAUUGUAUCGGCUUGACAGAAAUAGCUUCUCCCUGCCUCAUAAUUUGCCUGUUACUUGCUUUUUUUUCAGGAGGAAACUGGAGAACGAAAGAGAGCGAGGACAUGAAUAGACAAAGAUAUUCUUUCAUGACUUGAUAUAUAGGUCACUUGUGAGGGGAUUGUCUUUCCAGACUUUUUAUACAAUCAAGUGUAUGUGCCCAUAUCAUAUGGAAAUCAUUAUUCCUUGAUUUAAUCACGUCAUUUUCCCUUUUUUCUUUUGCACUACCCCACUAAUCUGUAAUAAAAGUCUGAGGGCAUUUUCAUCUCAUAAGGUAACACAAGGGACUGAAUGAUUUUUCCGUCAUUAGUAAUAACGAUAACCAUAGUCAAUAAGACAAAAUAGAGUGCUGGGUAUUUUAACGGGGAGAAGUUGGUGUUACAGAAAUUCAUUUCAGCUCAUUUACAGCAGCUAUUUUGUCAUGUUCACAGUGGCAAUGAUCAAAGGCACCACUCAGUCUGUUCCACAGACAUUAAAGGGAAGAGGAAGUGAUUUACCUCUGCAAAUGAAAUACCUCCCGCAGAGCCAUGCCCAUGCAUUUCAAUGAGCCCCGCAACAAUCCAAGGAAUCGCAUGUCGAGAAAAAUUGAGGGCAUGGGGUUGUGUUAAUAGUUUGUCAAUCAGACUUGUCCACCAUUUUGAUGAGUGCACUCGAUUCGAUUUUUUUUAACAUCAAAUGAAAUUCGGCAACUCAUUUACUGGUUUGGUCAUGCUUUGAUUUCACACAUUGACAAAUAAAGAAACUGCGUCCGCUGUCAAACAUAAAAUACGGGUGAAAUAUUCAGUUCUUUGGGUUCUUUUAAACAUUAGCAUGAAAAAUAUUACAGGCCAGAUUUCGUACAUUGACGGAGUAAAAUUUAUAUUCCAGAUAGUAAUAAAGCAUCAGUCAUUUUGCCGAGUAUGGAGGGGUUAUUCACAUUUGACAUCAGUCGGAGAGCUGCACCCCUCCAGGUCUAAGAGGAAGUGUGCUGUGUCGACAGAAACUGACCCCUCGUCUCCAGAACUCCACACGUCUAUCAGACCUGCCUCUGGCCUUGUGGUUGAAGAGAUGAUCCUGUCAACGGUUUGACCCCAACAAUAAAUGCUGUCCAUUAACAA